rnacentral:rRNA from 1 species
UACGGAGGGUGCAAGCGUUAAUCGGAAUUACUGGGCGUAAAGCGCACGCAGGCGGUUUGUUAAGUCAGAUGUGAAAUGCCCGGGCUCAACCUGGGAACUGCAUCUGAUACUGGCAAGCUUGAGUCUCGUAGAGGGGGGUAGAAUUCCAGGUGUAGCGGUGAAAUGCGUAGAUAUCUGGAGGAAUACCGGUGGCGAAGGCGGCCCCCUGGACGAAGACUGACGAUCAGGUGCGAAAGAGUGGGGAGCAAACAGG